GUGUCCUGCUCGUGAUCGUCUUCUCACCGCUCACCGGCAGGCAGUAAGGGAGGGUUCCCGCGGACAGCCACCCGCGGGAACCCUCC
rnacentral:ncRNA from 1 species